UGACUGUGUCUUUAUUGUUAUAUACAAGGAAACAUUGAUGAGGAUGCAGCAACAGGUUAUUGGGAGAAAGUAAUCAGAAAAAACUUGUGAAGAAAGCAGAGGAAUGCUCGGUUUGAACCCUGAGGGCUCAGCCUUGUGUCUGAACAAAUAUUUUACAAUGACUAUUUUCUAAAACAAAUGUAUCUCUGGGUUGCCUGAAGUUAAUAUUGAAUUUAAGCUGAGUUAGAAGAAAGAACAGUGUUUGGAAAUGUGAAACAAACCAACUCAGGCUACAAUCAUGAGCAGAUCAGACAUGAUUUGUAAAAGGUACCUCAGCCCUGAAGGUCCUGUGUCCCAUUGGAGGGACACAUGUGACAGCAGCCAGCCUUGGUCUCAGGAACCCAGCAAUCUGCCCUUGAGGCAUCCUCAGCAGUCAGCCUCAGAGACAGACCUGAAGACCUAUUUUGAUUCUUCUCAGAAGCCAUAAAAGGAAUACUCCACCAAACUUAUCUCCAAUACGAAGAAGAGAUCUGACAGAAGUGUUUCUUCUCCCUAAACUUGACAAUGAAUGCAGGCCAAGUUUCCAUACUGAGAUUUCUUUCCUUCAAUGUAG